rnacentral:lncRNA from 1 species
UACCACAGAUCUAUCAGUUAGUUGAAUCACAACUCUUGUUUCUUUGAGUGCACAUGCAUUGAGAGAUUUAUAGAUGGAGAGAGGCAUGACAUUUAUGGAUGCACCAAGAUCACACAUGGCUUUCCUUAUACCAACAUUCCCAAUUUUACAAGAGAUAGCGAACAUACCUUUGUCCUUGCAUUUGGUAGGGAGUUCUCUUUUAAUAACAGCAGUCACAACCUCACCUACACUUACUUUUUCUCUCUCUGCAAGCUUUCUCCUAUUAGUGCAAAGUUCUUUCAGAAAUUUAGCGUACCUGGGAAUCUGCUUAACAGCAUCUAGCAGAGGUAUAUUGAUUUGUACUUUUCUGAAAGUGUCAAGGAUCUCCUUUUCUUCCUUUUCUUUUUGUGUUCUUUCAAAUCUCUUGGGAAAAGGAGGUGGAAUGUGAAAGCUUACCUUUGGGUCAGUCUUUUGUGUAGGAGGAGCUGCGGAUUGCGAUGGAGAGGCUUCAGGUGGCUUUGGUUCUUUUUCUUGCUCAUGAUUAGUGUCUCGAAACUCUUUGCCACUUCUCAAAGUAAUAGCACUAACAUUCUGUCUGGGGUUGGUUUCAGUUUGAGAAGGGAGCUUACCUUGGGAUUGCAGUUGGCCUAUAGAGGUGGCCAUUUGGCUUAGGUCUUGUCGCACGCCUUGCAUAGAUGUGGUCAUUUGGCCUAGGUCUUGUCGCACGCCUUGCAUGGUGCUCACCAUUGUUUCCAUCAUUGUUUGCAUGAUCUUCUCAAGGUUCUGAUUUGGAGUUGAAGGUACUGGUUGGGCUUGAUUUCUUUGGUAACUUUGGUAGUUCUGAUCACUGUUGCUCUUUCCAUAGCUAAAAUUGGGGUGAUCUUUCCAACCUGGAUUGUAUGUAGUGGAGUAUGGAUCAUAUCUAGGCUGGUUGUUGUACCUCCCAAUGGCGUUGGCCUGCUGAUGGUCUUCUUGGAGUGUGGGACAUUGAUCAGUUGGGUGUCCCACACAUAAACAAAUCCCACAUGGCCUAGGUGGCUGGGGUGCUUGAAUCUGUUGUACCACAUCUACCACAGCAUUUUUUAUAACAGAUAUUAGUUCAGACAUAGAAGGAAAAUUUACCUCAUUGGCCCUUUGUAGUUGCCUCUCUUCUCCAUACUGCCUAGAUGAGGCUGCAAGAGUGGAGAUUAAUUCUC